rnacentral:piRNA from 1 species
UGAGAGUUGUUGACAGGCAAAUAAGGGA